GGCCGGGCCCGGAGGGGCGGCGGAGACCGGCGCUCCGCUCGGCGGCGACGGCGUUUUCUCAGAACUAUGGAAGGAUUUCUGGAGAAACUUCAUUGUGUUGUUAAACUUCAGAAGCUAGCUCUGUCUGACAGAUGAGGACCAGUGUCCUCACCUUCAUCCAUGACGGGCUAAGACACCUGACAACCAUAAGGCACCAUGCUCUUCAUUUUGGCCACUUCUCAAGACAGUGGAAUGAAGAUCGAAAAGAAAGAGAAUUCUGGGAGUGAGAAAAAGGAAAUUGACAUACGGGGAUAAAUUGACAGCUAUAGAUUUCUGUGAUUACACAAAAUGAAAAAUUAAAGAGCCUUUGUGAUUUAUUC